CCCAGAGCCGCAGGGGGAUAGGGCUGCGUGUGGAGCGCAGGCCGGGAGGUUACGUCACGUUCGCGCCUCGUGCCUCGGUGCUCCACGGCCCCGACUGGAUACACUCCGACUUGCCGCUCCUGACCCAUGAGCCAGGGACCGGCCUGUGCAUGUCCCGCUCGCAAGGUCUCACGGUGGAGGUGCAGCCAUUGAUUCUGAUUAACAGGGAUUGAUUGAGAAUCAAAGUGGAACCUAAUUCGAAUGAAACUGAUAAAAAAUGAUAAAGAGUUUGCCACCAAAGAAGGCAUCAAUCAAAGAAUGAGGACAAUGGACUUCAGAAAAGCAGACCAUAACAAUGUCAAGGAACUGAGAGGUUUUGCCAGACAUAACCAAGAUCAAGAAUGAAACUACCUCCUGGUAAACAGUUUUACACCAUCAAUCAUUAAAAAAAAAAAAAAAAAAAAAAAAAAUCACCUGGGGUGGGAGGGAGGAGAACCCUUUAAACUACAUUUAGGAACAAGCCUGAACAACAUUUUUUUUAACAUUAGACAGUGCAAUACAGAGUCAAUGAUUGAGGCCUAAAGUAUACUAUUUCAGAAAUCUACAUUUCUUUGGUUAUUUCAAGUCACGUCUCUAUUUUUAUCAUCGUUUUGGUGGGUACAAAUAAAGGUAUGCCAGUUUUACCUUAGAGAGCUAGAAAAUAGUUGAAUGGGAUUAGUAUAACACAUCUAUUAACUCUCUGGGAGUCAAAUCCACAAGUUUUGACAGUAUUAUUUUUACUUUUUUUCAGACAAAAAAAAUCUAAAUAAACUUGAAUGGUAGUUUUGCCUGAGUAAGUAUCAAGUAAAAACUAAAGGCAUUAUUGGUCCCUGCAGAUGUCUUCCUUACCAACAUGCAUGGGGUAGUGCUACUUCUGUAGAAUGCUUCCAUCUUUUCACGUGCUAGGACAAAAGGCUCUGUAGAGGAUCCCCCAGGGUUUAAUGCUCCAUGGGUAUAGAGACAAUGGAAUGGACUCACUCAAGUUCUGCUACCUUAGGGCCAUAGAAGACAGGGCAAGUUACUGUGUACAAAGGCUCUGAUUCUGCAAACACCCAGAACAUGCACAGCUUUGAGUCAAAAUUUGUAAAAUACACAGCAUAUACAACAUUUUACAGCGUUUCUCUGCUUCAAAGCAGUUGGUUGAGCCUGGCUAGCACAGCUAUUUAGGAAGUCAUGCCUGGGAUAGGACAGGGUAAUGGUUGGCUGUGCAGAGAGAUGGUGCUGCUGUUGGAGUGAAACCAGCAGCUUCUUCCACCCACUGACAAAAAAGAUAGAGGAGCCUUUGUAACUUGAAGCUGUUGAGUGGAUUCCACUUUCUUACUAGUGAUUAGCAGAAUAUUCAACUCUUCAGAUUUUGUCCCUCUCUGCUUUGAUGGGGAGACUCUUCUUUACCCAUAAACCUAUGGGUUCUGAUUUGCAAUGGCUUUGUACCUGUGGGGCCAUGUACAUCUGCACAAGGUAACGGAAACAGCCUUCUGUUAUUCGUUUUGCCCAGAUAUAGUUUUACUAACAGAAAAGAAGCAGGUGUGUAACCUCUUGCACUCUGGUUAAGAAAGCAUUUGGGACCCCAGACAGCUUGUCUGAAGUGUGGCAAAAGAAUGAAAUACUUAUGGCAGAAAAAGAAAGGAAUAGUUUCAUAGUAGUUUCGUAGUAGCUAGGGUCAGGAGGGACCUGAACAGAUCAUCUAGCCUGAACCCCUGCCACAGGCAGGAAUGAAUGCUGGGUUCACAAGACCCC